CCCAUUAUUUUACUUUAUUACUAAAUUAUCUCUCUUAUAAAAUACGAAUAUACUGCGCUACAUCAUUUUUUUAAGAAAAAAAAUAACAUGCUCUACCUAACUUAUACGAUCUAUUUAUCAUUCAUACAUCUAUUCUUAAAAAACAAUUCUUUUUAAUAAAAUUCGUAGCUAACAUUGUAUUUGGUAGCAAUUACCUCCCAACUAA
rnacentral:lncRNA from 1 species